GACUGAAAUGUGAGUUACAGAUGGAAGCCAGUUCAUGAUUUUCCAUGCUCUCUUUCUAGACCACCACAACCAUGGGAGUGUAUGUUGGUAUGGAGAAACCAUAAAAUCUAAGUGGCAUGGAAAACUGCACCAGUACAUGGAGAAAAGCAAUCCUGCCCAGUCUCCCAGAUAUGCCAAAGACUUUGUAUGAGCUAUUGAACUUGGACUUGAACUACAACAUUGGCUCUCCUGGGUCUCCAGCUUGCUAACUGAAGAUCUUGGGACUUCUCAGCCUCCAUAAUUGUUUUCAUCGCCAUGUCCAAUCGAACCCUUCAUCAGUGAGCUGCAUACCUGGACCAUAUUACAUUGACCUGGCCCUUUCCUCUAUGCACUCAGAAUUGACUUCCCAGCUCCAGUAAUUCUUUUCUCAUGUUUGGGUGUAGACAUCUUUGUGUUUGGGACAGAGUAAAUGCAUAGUAUUGUUCUAAAUUCUGUGCUUGUUUGAACCUUUCCUCUUGAUUUGCAGAGGGAAAUUCCACAAGAAAAAUAAUAAAAGACACUAGACAUAAAUUCCCUCAAUUUGCUCAUCAUCAAACUACUUUUGAAUGCAAUCUUUCCUCUCCUCUGGCUGUUAUUCUUGAAGAGUUGAUGUCCCCUUUUCAUAGAUUAAUAUUUGCCCCUGUGCUCUGCAUCAUAUCAUCUCCUUUUCUCCUCAAGGGCUGGUCUGCAUCUUUACCACUCUCUCUCUUCUGGCUUCUCAUUGAAACUACUCAUGAUUUAAGACCCUUAAAGAUUGGACUCCAACUAAACUGUAGUCAACUAGAAGACAAGGGCAGUGUCUUAUUAAUGAAGAUUCAUUGACUAUAUGAGUGAAUGCAUUAAUUUUGAAAAGACUGAAACAUUUAAUGGAGAAUAGAGUUAUCUUUUUCAGUAUCUACCCCAAAAUUUGUAUUUCACUUUGUUGAAAAGGAAAACUAAGAUUAAAGUUAGAGCUUCUUCUCCAGAGAUACAGUAAAAGAAGCUACAAAUGUAUUAAAUUUAAAAUAGAGAUGUAUCUGGCUGGUGGUCAACUACCAAGUUGAAAAUCUAAUGGCCACUUGGCACCAUUUAAAGCAUUGUAUUGAAACUGAGAAGCUUGAGAUCCAAGACACCCUUUCUUUUAUUGCUACCUAAGUGUUCUUGAUUUCUUUUUAUUUUGCAAAGUCAAAAAGGCACGUUCACUAAAAAAGCCUAAAGAAAUUUUCUUUAGGAAGCAGAAUAACAGCCAUUCUUAGGUGUGAGAAUCACUGUAGCAGGGUCACUACCAUCCACCUCAAUCAUACCCUUUAUUUGCAUUCCCCUUUUGGAAUGUAAACUACAAACAGACUACAUUAGAUUUUUUUCAUCACACCCAAAAUUGUGCCUAUUCUCUCCUCACUCUACAGGUUUUUCCUGGAAGAGUCCAUUUCCUGCCAUGACUUACAGAGGGUCAGCAAAACACAAAAGAAAGAACAUGGACUUUGUGUUUAGUGAGAGUUAGUUGAAUUCUGGUUCUGCCACAUACUAGCUAUGUGGCUUUUAGGGAGUUCUGUGGUCUUUCAGAAUCUCACUGUCCUCAUAAGUCAAAAUAAUGUACAGCUCAGAGUUGUUAUGGACAUUAAAUGAGAUAAUUUUGAAAACAAGUAUAUGUAGC
ensembl:lncRNA